AAGGUGAUGAUCCACUUCACAUUGAUCUGAAGGUGAUGACCCACUUCACAUUGAUCUGAAGGUAUUGAUUUACUAAUCCUGAUCUGAAAGUGUUGAUUCACUUAACAUUGAUCUGAAGGUGUUGAUCCACUAACCCUGAUCUGAAGGUAUCGAUCCACUAACCCUGAUCUGAAGGUGUUGAUUCACUAACCCUGAUCUGAAAGUGUUGAUUCACUUCACAUUGAUCUGAAAGUGUUGAUUCACUUCACAUUGAUCUGAAAGUGUUGAUUCACUUCACAUUGAUCUGAAGGUAUUGAUUCACUUCACAUUGAUCUGAAGGUGUUGACCCACUUCACAUUGAUCUGAAGGUAUUGAUUCACUAAUCCUGAUCUGAAAGUGUUGAUUCACUUAACAUUGAACUGAAGGUGGCGAUCAACUAAACCUUGAUAUGGAAGAAUUGAUUCACCUCGUGGUUUAAAGAUGUGUCUAAUUGUGCUAUGUUCGUCUGAAAAAUAUCAAAUGUUGUUAAAUAAUAAAAUGUUAAUUAAAAUCU